UACGUAGGUGGCAAGCGUUGUCCGGAAUUAUUGGGCGUAAAGCGCGCGCAGGUGGUUCCUUAAGUCUGAUGUGAAGGCCCACGGCUCAACCGUGGAGGGUCAUUGGAAACUGGGGGACUUGAGUGCAGAAGAGGAAAGUGGAAUUCCAAGUGUAGCGGUGAAAUGCGUAGAGAUUUGGAGGAACACCAGUGGCGAAGGCGACUUUCUGGUCUGUAACUGACACUGAGGCGCGAAAGCGUGGGGAGCAAACAGG
rnacentral:rRNA from 1 species